AUAGUUAUCGUUUAUUUGAUAGUACCUUACUACUUGGAUAACCGUGGUAAUUCUAGAGCUAAUACAUGCUAAAAAUCCCGACUUCGGAAGGGAUGUAUUUAUUAGAUUAAAAACCAAUGCCCUUCNGGGCUCCUUGGUGAUUCAUGAUAACUUCGCGAAUCGCAUGGCCUUGCGCCGGCGAUGGUUCAUUCAAAUUUCUUCCCUAUCAACUUUCGAUGUUUGGGUAUUGGCCAAACAUGGUUGCAACGGGUAACGGAGGGUUAGGGCUCGACCCCGGAGAAGGAGCCUGAGAAACGGCUACUACAUCCAAGGAAGGCAGCAGGCGCGCAAAUUACCCAAUCCCGACUCGGGGAGGUAGUGACAAUAAAUACUGAUACAGGGCUCUUUAGGGUCUUGUAAUUGGAAUGAGUACAAUUUAAAUCCCUUAACGAGGAACAAUUGGAGGGCAAGUCUGGUGCCAGCAGCCGCGGUAAUUCCAGCUCCAAUAGCGUAUAUUAAAGUUGUUGUGGUUAAAAAGCUCGUAGUUGAACCUUGGGCCUGGCUGGCCGGUCCGCCUCACCGCGUGCACUGGUCCGGCCGGGCCUUUCCCUCUGUGGAACCCCAUGCCCUUCACUGGGUGUGGCGGGGAAACAGGACUUUUACUUUGAAAAAAUUAGAGUGCUCCAGGCAGGCCUAUGCUCGAAUACAUUAGCAUGGAAUAAUAAAAUAGGACGUGCGGUUUUAUUUUGUUGGUUUCUAAGACCGCCGUAAUGAUUAAUAGGGACAGUCGGGGGCAUCAGUAUUCAAUUGUCAGAGGUGAAAUUCUUGGAUUUAUUGAAGACUAACUACUGCGAAAGCAUUUGCCAAGGAUGUUUUCAUUAAUCAGGAACGA
rnacentral:rRNA from 1 species